rnacentral:sRNA from 1 species
AGCAGCUGCGGUAAUUCUAGCUCCAAUAGCUAUAGUAAAGUUGUUGCAGUUAAAAAACUCAUAGUUAAAUUUCGGGGUUCUACCAUUGGUCGGGCUUUGUCUGUACUGACGUGUGGAAUUUUUACCUUCUGGAGAACUAUUAUGUUAUUAAUUUAAUGUAGUGGAAAACUAGGACCUUUAUCUUGAAAAAAUUAGAGUGUUCAAAGCAGGCUUAUGUUUGAAUACAUUAGAAUGGAAUAAUAAAAUAGGACAGUGGUCCUGUUUUGUUGAUUUCUGAAUCACCAUAAUGGUUAAUAGGGAUAGUUAGGGGCAUUAGUAUUCAAUUGUCAGAGGUGAAAUUCUUGGAUUUAUUGAAGACU